GGCAGCACAGUUCAGAUGGCUGGUGGCAACGUGACUUGCCAGAACACCAUGUCUGCUGCCAUCACUGUGAGGAGUGGUCCAGAGGGCUCCAUCACCAGGGACAGUGUCUACAAGUUAUUCUUCCAGUGCACCUACUCGGGAAGCCAGGAUGUGCAAGUGGAGGCUGAGGUGUAUCCUGUGACGCCA